UCCACUGCUCCAACAGAGGGCAGGGCCUCCCCAUCCCUGUCAUUGCUUCCUGGUGCCUGAGCUGCAGCUUCUCACACCCUCCUUAAAAUGAGUCUCUGGGUGUAAAUUUGUUUUUUUCAGUUCUUGCCCUGAGUGGUUGAUGUGUUCAUUAAAAAGUUGAAGAUCCUAAGUUUUGAGAGGAAUAAAUGGAAUCAUCAAGAAGUUUCCAGAACCCA